rnacentral:tRNA from 1 species
GGAGGGAUCGCAUAGUGGCCUAGUGCGGGCGCCUGCUAAGCGCUUAGCCCGAGAAAUUGGGCUCAUGGGUUCGAAUCCCAUUCCCUCCGCCA